CCUACGGGGGGCUGCAGUGGGGAAUAUUGCACAAUGGGCGCAAGCCUGAUGCAGCCAUGCCGCGUGUGUGAAGAAGGCCUUCGGGUUGUAAAGCACUUUCAGCGGGGAGGAAGGCGUUAAGGUUAAUAACCUUGGCGAUUGACGUUACCCGCAGAAGAAGCACCGGCUAACUCCGUGCCAGCAGCCGCGGUAAUACGGAGGGUGCAAGCGUUAAUCGGAAUUACUGGGCGUAAAGCGCACGCAGGCGGUCUGUCAAGUCGAAUGUGAAAUCCCCGGGCUCAACCUGGGAACUGCAUUCGAAACUGGCAGGCUAGAGUCUUGUAGAGGGGGGUAGAAUUCCAGGUGUAGCGGUGAAAUGCGUAGAGAUCUGGAGGAAUACCGGUAGCGAAGGCGGCCCCCUGGACAAAGACUGACGCUCAGGUGCGAAAGCGUGGGGAGCAAACAGGAUUAGAUACCCGAGUAGUC
rnacentral:rRNA from 1 species